rnacentral:rRNA from 1 species
UAAGGCUAUCGUAACUCAGAUAUUCAGAUACAGGAAUACUCGCCAGAGAACUACGAGCAAAACGCUUAAAACUCAAAGGACUUGGCGGUACCUCAAACCCCCCUAGAGGAGCCUGUUCUAUAAUCGAUAAUCCACGAUAUACCUCACCAUCUCUUGCCAAUCCCGCCUAUAUACCGCCUUUUUCAGCAAACACAGCAAAC